AAGCUGAGAUUGAAAAGGCAAAGCUUGUGUUGGAUGGUUUUGAUCUGAAGACUUUCAACCAGUUUCUGCACUGUUGAGUUGACUGCUCAAGCUCCAUUGAUGUGGGCAACUGGCUAAUGCCUGCCCCCGUCAAGAACUUUCUGUUUAUCCACUCAGUUUGGGGUUUGGGGUUGAAAUGUUGAGGAAAUAGCAUGGAGAGUCAGAAAAAAUGGCAGUGAUAUUGAUGACUUCUGAGGUUGACUACAAUCUUUGGGCACGUGGGAUUUUCCCAUCGAGAUAUAUGUAAGAGGAAGUUUGAUAUGGGUGAGGAAGUUAUACUCCAUUGCUUUCAAACAAAGAAAGCAAGGAUUAAGUGUUAGAAUUUUCUCUUUAAUCAGAGGUAAUUAGGUAUUGUCCACUAUCCCAUUUUCUAAUUAAGGUUUAUCUCUUGUAAUUAUCUCAUGUUAAAAUAAGAGAUAUGAUGAAUUCCAAACUCUUUGUAUGUAUAGAAUUACUUUCCUUAAUGGAAGGAACUAGUGGAAAUGGAAUUCUAUAUGAAGGUUCCUAGUUUAGCCUGUAAAUAAGCCUUUCAUUAGAUUUAAGUUUUUAUGAAGGCAAAAGCCUAGAAGACUCUCUAGAAAAUUCUCUAGAUGUUCUGUUAUAAUUAUUGAGGGGAGGAGAUUUAAAUAUACUUGUCGAAUAAUAUUGACUAGAGGGGUGUAUAACUCCACUGUUACAAUUA